AGUGGCGGACGGGUGAGUAACGCGUGGGUAACCUGCCUCAUACAGGGGGAUAACAGUUAGAAAUGACUGCUAAUACCGCAUAAGACCACAGCACCGCAUGGUGCGGGGGUAAAAACUCCGGUGGUAUGAGAUGGACCCGCGUCUGAUUAGGUAGUUGGUGGGGUAACGGCCUACCAAGCCGACGAUCAGUAGCCGACCUGAGAGGGUGACCGGCCACAUUGGGACUGAGACACGGCCCAG
rnacentral:rRNA from 1 species